AGCGAACGCUGGCGGCAGGCUUAACACAUGCAAGUCGAGCGCCGUAGCAAUACGGAGCGGCAGACGGGAGAGUAACACGUGGGAACGUACCCCUCGGUUCGGAAUAACUCAGGGAAACUUGAGCUAAUACCGGAUACGUCGGCAACGAGAAAGAUUUAUCGCCGAGGGAUCGGCCCGCGUCCGAUUAGCUAGUUGGGGGUAAUGGCCCACCAAGGCGACGAUCGGUAGCUGGUCUGAGAGGAUGAUCAGCCUCACUGGGACUGAGACACGGCCCAGACUCCUACGGGAGGCAGCAGUGGGGAAUAUUGGACAAUGGGCGCAAGCCUGAUCCAGCCAUGCCGCGUGGGUGAUAAGGCCUUAGGGUUGUAAAGCCCUUUCGGCGGGGAAGAUAAUGACGGUACCCGCAGAAGAAGCCCCGGCUAACUUCGUGCCAGCAGCCGCCGUAAUAC
rnacentral:rRNA from 1 species